GUACCCUUAAAAUGUUUGUCCGAUCAUGAAAGAAUUUGAUAUUAAUGUUAAUAAUUUUGAAAACUGAUUCAUGAAGGAAUUACCAAAAUCAAACACGACUAAGCCUAGAAAAGUGACAGGUUAUUUUCCCAUUACUAUCCCGUUAAAAAAUGUCAAGGGUACCGUUGUGAAUCAAACAUUGCCAUAUCUGCAUGUAGGGUUUCUUGAAAUUACUUUUCUGAAAAGAACAGUGUUCCCUCAUUUUUAUAGUGAUUUCCUUAUUGUUGUUGAUUGGGAUGGUUUGCUGCACUCUGCUCAUAUCCUACUACAUCUUCCUCACACACCAGCAGAGGGAGGGCUCACUCCAACGAGAGGAACAACAUAUUCAGAGCAUUCUGAUGAACUCCAACUCAAGUUUAACCAUGGAUUCUGGACUAAUGGUUAAGAAAGAAUUCUAAACCAAUGCAGCAAACUACUUGGAGAUUUUUUUUGUAUUUUAAGGGUCUCUCCUCGAUUAUAACAGUGCUUUGGAUAAUGAAGAAAUGGGUUCAACCUUAAUGUGCCGUAAACAAAUCCCAACAGUAACUCUAUAUUAAAAUAUCAAAUAUAACUAACAAGUAACUGUCCUUAAAGUAUAAAUGUAAAACCUAGUUUACAAAUCAAAACUGGUUUUACUGCUGCACUGACUUGUCCCCCCCCCCCCUCGACUUCAGGGGCUUUACAUCUUUUAUGUGAAGAACUCAGGGGCGAGGGAAAAAAUGACAAAACCGUCGCGUAACAGGGUUUAUCUUUUAAGCUUGUAAUAAAUGUUUUCGUAUUUUAAGGUUGUGUACAAAAAAGGAAAUAAUCGUUCAUCAUAAAAAGAAAAUAUUCUUAAAUCUUUUGAAAGAAUAUUCUAAUUUGUUAUUGGUUACAAUUUUUAU